CGGCGGACGGGUGAGUAACACGUGGAUAACCUACCUAUAAGACUGGGAUAACUUCGGGAAACCGGAGCUAAUACCGGAUAAUAUAUUGAACCGCAUGGUUCAAUAGUGAAAGACGGUUUUGCUGUCACUUAUAGAUGGAUCCGCGCCGCAUUAGCUAGUUGGUAAGGUAACGGCUUACCAAGGCAACGAUGCGUAGCCGACCUGAGAGGGUGAUCGGCCACACUUGAACUGAGACACGGUCCAG
rnacentral:rRNA from 1 species